UUUUAGUCAGCAGUAGUACAACUUCAAUGUUGAAUGAAGUAUUGCUCCUGCUAACUAAAAGA
rnacentral:pre_miRNA from 1 species